CACACAUGCAGUCCCAUCAAAAUACACUCAAAAGCACCGAUAUGUGGUCAAAAUGCACUCAGAAAGAUUGCUUGCAACAGAUCCAGCAAUGGAAGUGCAGCUACCAGUAUUGAGCUGCAAUGGAAGCUCAAAAGAAUGAGGGAACGAGAUAUCAAAAAUACUUAAGAUUCUAUUAUACCUCUUCAAUUUCCUUUUCGACAAAAAUGAUAAAGGCAAUAAAAGAGCAAAUAAUAAAGGAAAUAUGUCGUUUGACUCGUCUUUUGAAUAUUGAGAAACUACCGGGAUAAAAAAAUGGAAAGGAAAUUAACAUAUUUUUAGUAGAACUCCAUUAAAAGUGCAACAACAUUACCAGAAUUAACGGUGACGCCGUCACCUCACUGUACUCCACCGCAAUCCCGUGGUCCUUUCAGCAUUCCUUGCAAGCUAAACCUAUAAUGGAAUUAAAAUCACAAUUUACACAAAAAAAAAAAAAAAAGUUGAAGAAUGAAAAAAAAAGCUGCGCAUAUCUCCAUGCAUAUAUUCACAAUAACGCUGCACACGCG
rnacentral:lncRNA from 1 species